CCCCCUCCCCUAACUCCCAAAGCUAGGAUCCUAAAUAGACUAUUCUU
rnacentral:tRNA from 2 species